UACGGAGGGUGCAAGCAUUAAUCGGAUUUAUUGGCCGUAAAGGGUGCGUAGGCGGCGCGGUAAGUCGGGUGUGAAAUCUCGGAGCUUAACUCCGAAACUGCAUUCGAUACUGCCGUGCUUGAGGACUGGAGAGGAGACUGGAAUUUACGGUGUAGCGGUGAAAUGCGUAGAUAUCGUAAGGAAGACCAGUGGCGAAGGCGGGUCUCUGGACAGUUCCUGACGCUGAGGCACGAAGGCCAGGGGAGCAAACGGG
rnacentral:rRNA from 1 species